AUUAAGAAGCUAUGAGACAGCAACAGCCUUUUAAGCUGCAGAAAGGUGGCCCUAACCACCCUUAAUGA
rnacentral:tRNA from 1 species